CACCAGCUCACCUCGACUCCUCACUUUCCACCCACUGGUACAUCUCCACGUGCCUGCGCAGCUUCACGGCCGGAAGAUGGACUCCGUAGUUGGGAUCAGACAAGAGCUUCCAAAAAGAAUCAAAGGAACCAAAAAAUAAAGAUAAGCUUUGCAUCCACCAGGAAUCCCUGGCUCAGGGGGGGAAGCUGGACUGGAAGAGAAUGUGGAAAACAGGGACAGGAUCUGUAAGCUACUUGGAUGUGAAACUGGAAUUGCCAAAUCCACCUCUGCCAGCCAAAGGAGGGCCCUGCCCAAGAGAGAUGCCACAACAGAGAAAAACAGGGAAGGGUCGAAGGAAUGGAGAGUCCUGGUGACCCAACAGGAACACCUGGAUCCAGCCAUGCCUGAAGCAGCUUUUUCAGAAAUCUGGGUCCUUUAUUGCCAAAUCCAGCCCCUGGAUUCAUAGCCUUGGCUCCCUAAUAGGCUCUGCACGUGGUGACCCCAGACAUUUUACCUCAUUGGUGAAAAUUAAGUAGAAGGAG